rnacentral:rRNA from 1 species
GUGGGGAAUAUUGGGCAAUGGGGGAAACCCUGACCCAGCAACGCCGCGUGAAGGAAGAAGGUUUUCGGAUCGUAAACUUCUAUCCUUGGUGAAGAUAAUGACGGUAGCCAAGAAGGAAGCCCCGGCAAACUACGUGCCAGCAGCCGCGGUAAUACGUAGGGGGCAAGCGUUGUCCGGAAUGAUUGGGCGUAAAGGGCGCGUAGGCGGCCCGGUAAGUCUGAAGUGAAAGUCCUGCUUUUAAGGUGGGAAUUGCUUUGGAUACUGUCGGGCUUGAGUGCAGGAGAGGUAAGCGGAAUUCCCGGUGUAGCGGUGAAAUGCGUAGAGAUCGGGAGGAACACCAGUGGCGAAGGCGGCUUACUGGACUGUAACUGACGCUGAGGCGCGAAAGUGUGGGGAGCAAACAGGAUUAGAAACCCUAGUAGUCC